GACGAACGCUGGCGGCGUGCUUAACACAUGCAAGUCGAACGGAAAGGCCCUGCUUUUGUGGGGUGCUCGAGUGGCGAACGGGUGAGUAACACGUGAGUAACCUGCCCUUGACUUUGGGAUAACUUCAGGAAACUGGGGCUAAUACCGGAUAGGAGCUCCUGCUGCAUGGUGGGGGUUGGAAAGUUUCGGCGGUUGGGGAUGGACUCGCGGCUUAUCAGCUUGUUGGUGGGGUAGUGGCUUACCACGGCUUUGACGGGUAGCCGGCCUGAGAGGGUGACCGGCCACAUUGUGACUGAGAUACGGCCCAGACUCCUACGGGAGGCAGCAGUGGGGAAUCUUGCACAAAGGGCGGAAGCCUGAUGGAGCAACGCCGCGUGCGGGAUGAAAGCCUUCGGGUGGUAAGCCGAUUUCGCCUGUGACGAAGCGUGAGUGACGGUAAUUGGUAAAGAAGCACCGGCUAACUACGU
rnacentral:rRNA from 1 species